GCCUCCAGAUCUGUGGUCCUCAAUGACCCAGAGCUUUCACUGCUGCUCUGCUCCUGCGUCUUCUGAAGCUCAGCCCUCCUGGGUUUAAGGCUCUUGCUCCUGAUCAGUCUGCCUUGUAUUGUGUGCAUCUGCUUUGGACCCAGCAGGAAAAGUACUCGCAGAAGCCCUGUGCCUGGUGUGGUGGCCUGAAGACACAGCACAUGCUGCUGGGAGCUCCUGGCUCUGAAAAGGCUGUGCGGCUAUUAGGCUGACCUGGACCCGUGCCAGGUGUGUGUUCCUGGGCAGGUUAAGCUUCCCAGACUACUUCCAGUUUGGCUACAUGUGGCUUCAUCCUCAUUGUCCAAGGUGGCUCCUGGGGCUCCAGCCAUCACAUCAUGAUUCCAGAUGGUGGCUGUGUCCCCUCUGGGCAGAAUCGCUGCUGGUGGAGAAACGGCAGGCUGACCAGGGCGGAGCCAGCGUGGGGAGCGUGGGGGGCGACGCCUUGUCACCACAGCCGCGAGGUCGUCCUGCGCCUCAGCCCUCACCAUGCUGUCCCCACGCCUGCUGUCCCCAGUCGAGAUCAGCUCUCGGAAGGAAAGGAAGAGGCCUAUCUAUCCUGUUCCCCACUGUAGCCUCUGCAUCAAAUUCUGCCCAGAAGCGUUCCGUAAGAGUUCCGUAAGCGAGAUCAGCCCUCUGAAGGAAAGGAAGGGGCUUAUCUAUCCUGUUCCCUACUGUAUCCUCUGCAUCAAAUUAUGCCCACCUCAUAGUAAGAGUUCCCUAAAAGUUGGUUAUUUAAAUGAAUCAAAUUUUUACCAUUUCUUCAUUGGACUCUUUUUCAGAUUUUUUCCUCCUUUACCCUGAAUCCUAAAUAUUCACUGAUUCUCCCUUGUUUUUGUCACCAUUCCCACCCACAUUUAACCCCUGUGACUAUAUCAU
ensembl:lncRNA